rnacentral:rRNA from 1 species
UACGGUGGGUGCAAACGUUGCUCGGAAUUACUGGGCGUAAAGCGCACGUAGGUGGUUUUAUAAGUCGGAUGUGAAAGCCCCGGGCUUAACCUGGGAAUUGCAUCUGAUACUGUCUGACUAGAGUAUGCUAGAGGGAAGUGGAAUUCCAGGUGUAGCGGUGAAAUGCGUAGAUAUCUGGAGGAACACCAAUGGCGAAGGCAACUUCCUGGGGCAAUACUGACACUGAUGUGCGAAAGCGUGGGGAGCAAACAGG